ACACUCACCACUUUGAUUCCAACAGCGAAGUCGAAGUCGUGGUCAGGAGUAAGACUGAGCUGGGUAGAGAUAGUAAGGUAUUUACUCAAGAGAAGUGAGCAGGGAACGGUAUGAGGUAGGUACAGAGCAUUCAGGCAGAGAGGACCACCUGCAGGAGAGUGACAACUCUGAGGAGGUGAGGAGACAAGGCAUUGUCGUAGAUGGAAGCUUAUGGGGAGGCAACGAGAUGAGGCUGCAGGCUGGGCUUUGUGGGCUGUGGUAGGGAUUUUGGUUUCUAUUCUGAGAA
rnacentral:lncRNA from 10 species